GUACGAGGCGAGCGUUAUCCGGAUUCAUUGGGCGUAAAGGGCAAGUAGGCGGUGCUCAAAGUUGGGCGUGACAUCUCCCGGCUUAACUGGGAGGGGUCGUCCAAAACUAGGCUACUAGAGGGCAGGAGAGGGAAGUGGAACUCCUAGUGUAGCGGUGGAAUGCUCAGAUACUAGGAAGAACACCAGUGGCGAAGGCGACUUCCUGGCCUGUUCCUGACGCUGAGAGGCGAAAGCUAGGGGAGCAAACGGGCUUAGAUACCCCGGUAGUCCUAGCCGUAAACGUUGGAUACUGGGUAUUGGGGGUAUAGAUUCCCGCAGUGCCGAAGCUAACGCGUUAAGUAUCCCGCCUGGGGACUACGGCCGCAAGGUUAAAACUCAAAGGAAUUGACGGGUCUCCGCACAAGCAGCGGAGCGUGUGGUUUAAUUCGAAGCGACACGAAGAACCUUACCUGGGCUUGACAUGUAUGUAGUAGGGAGCCGAAAGGUGACCGACCCUUCGGGGAGCAUACACAGGUGCUGCAUGGCUGUCGUCAGCUCGUGCCGUGAGGUGUUGGGUUAAGUCCCCCAACGAGCGCAACCCUCGUUGCUAGUUAAAUCUGUCUAGCGAGACUGCCGGGGUAUAACCGGAGGAAGGUGGGGAUGACGUCAAGUCAGCAUGGCCUUUAUGUCCAGGGCUACACACACGCUACAAUGGCCGGUACAAUAGGUUGCCAAGCCGUGAGGCGGAGCUAAUCCUCAAAGCCGGCCUCAGUUCGAAUUGUAGGCUGCAACUCGCCUGCAUGAAGCUGGAGUUGCUAGUAACCGCAGGUCAGCAAUACUGCGGUGAAUACGUUCCCGGAGAUU
rnacentral:rRNA from 1 species